UGCUAUGGUCUCCUUCCUUGGAGAUCUUUAAAAAUAGUCGGAAGCGCUCAACUGUCCCAUAUUACUGAGGAAGGGAACUGCUGGCAGUACUGCGCUCACAGUGUGUCGGGCACUGUGAGUGUCGUCUCGUGCCGUCCUGUCGGGGCUUCCGUGAGGUUGACUCUCUUCCCCUGAGUCCCAUUUUGCAGAUGGUGACAGGCAAGGGUUGUUUCUAUUGCUUGAAACCAAGAAACACUGCCCGGCACAGGGAAGAAUUAUGGGAAGCUGAUCUCCUGUGAGACUGGGACCCUCUUCUGUCAAGACAAGAUGGGGGUAUCCUGGAUAGUCUUCUACACCGGUGGCUUGGAUCCGAGAGGGAACACCAAGAAGACAAGGCCUGGUAUGCAGACUUACUAAGUCUCUGCCUGUGUCACACGUGCUCCUGUCCCAGACUGGAGAAACGUCGAGUCAGUGUGGUAAGGUAUUCCUCCAGAUCUUAGAUAGCAGACUGGCUCAGUCCAGCAGGGGCCUGCAAUGCAGCAGUCGAUCAUGGUACCCGGUUGCAAGGAUUUUCAG